GACGUAGGGCGCGAGCGUUGUCCGGAUUUAUUGGGCGUAAAGAGCUCGUAGGCGGCUUGUCGCGUCGAAUGUGAAAUCUCAGGGCUCAACUCUGACAUUGCAUUCGAUACGGGCAGGCUAGAGUUCGGUAGGGGAGACUGGAACUCCUGGUGUAGCGGUGAAAUGCGCAGAUAUCAGGAGGAACACCGGUGGCGAAGGCGGGUCUCUGGGCCGAUACUGACGCUGAGGAGCGAAAGCAUGGGGAGCGAACAGG
rnacentral:rRNA from 1 species